UACAGAGGGGGCAAGCGUUGUUCGGAAUUACUGGGCGUAAAGGGCGCGUAGGCGGCCUGUUAAGUCGAACGUGAAAUCCCCGGGCUCAACCCGGGAACUGCGUCCGAUACUGGCAGGCUUGAAUCCGGGAGAGGGAUGUGGAAUUCCAGGUGUAGCGGUGAAAUGCGUAGAUAUCUGGAGGAACACCGGUGGCGAAGGCGGCAUCCUGGACCGGUAUUGACGCUGAGGCGCGAAAGCCAGGGGAGCAAACGGG
rnacentral:rRNA from 2 species